GAUGAAGAACGUAGCGAAAUCCGAUAAGUAAUGCGAAUUGCAGAAUUUCCGUGAGUCAUCGAAUCUUUGAACGCACAUUGCGCCCACUGGUAUUCCGGUGGGCAUGCCUGUUCGAGCGUCAUUAUCCUCCCUCAAACCCCGGGUUUGGUGUUGGACCCAAGUUGUGUGAACAACUGGUCUCAAAGACAAUGACGGCGUCCGUGGGACCCUCGGUGCAACGAGCUUUUAGGAGCACGCAUCGAGUUGCAAGGACCUUCCGGGCCGGUCUCCUUUACCAUUUUACAAGGUUGACCUCGGAUCAGGUAGGAAUACCCGCUGAACUUAAGCAUAUCAAUAAGCGGAGGA
rnacentral:misc_RNA from 1 species